rnacentral:rRNA from 1 species
CUUGCUGUUUCGCUGACGAGUGGCGGACGGGUGAGUAAUGUCUGGGAAACUGCCUGAUGGAGGGGGAUAACUACUGGAAACGGUAGCUAAUACCGCAUAACGUCGCAAGACCAAAGAGGGGGACCUUCGGGCCUCUUGCCAUCAGAUGUGCCCAGAUGGGAUUAGCUAGUAGGUGGGGUAACGGCUCACCUAGGCGACGAUCCCUAGCUGGUCUGAGAGGAUGACCAGCCACACUGGAACUGAGACACGGUCCAGACUCCUACGGGAGGCAGCAGUGGGGAAUAUUGCACAAUGGGCGCAAGCCUGAUGCAGCCAUGCCGCGUGUAUGAAGAAGGCCUUCGGGUUGUAAAGUACUUUCAGCGGGGAGGAAGGGAGUAAAGUUAAUACCUUUGCUCAUUGACGUUACCCGCAGAAGAAGCACCGGCUAACUCUGUGCCAGCAGCCGCGGUAAUACGGAGGGUGCAAGCGUUAAUCGGAAUUACUGGGCGUAAAGCGCACGCAGGCGGUUUGUUAAGUCAGAUGUGAAAUCCCCGGGCUCAAACCUGGGAACUGCAUCUGAUACUGGCAAGCUUGAGGUCUCGUAGAGGGGGGUAGAAUCCAGGUGUAGCGGUGAAAUGC